GAGCUCACGCUACAUUCCAACAGCCACUUCCGUGAGGUCUCCAACUGCCACCGGUUGUGCCUCUGGCCUCACUUGCCCAUCACGCUGGGAAAUCUACGAGGCCGCCACCGCCUUCGGCCCCGCCGCUGCCCGCUCCGUGGCCCUCGCUUCAGAGGUGCCUUCACCUUUGCGUUGGUGCCCGGGCCGCCAGCCAUGGUCACUGCACCGCUCCCACAAGUGCGCCAGAACUACCACCCCGACUGCGAGGCCGCCGUCAACAGCCAGAUCAACCUGGAGCUCUACGCCUCCUACGUGUACCGGUCCAUGGCUUUCUACUUCGACCGCGACGACGUGGCCUUGAAGAACUUCGCCCAGUUCUUCCUGCGCCAGUUUCACGAGGAGAUCGAGCAUGCCGAGAAGCUGAUGCAGCUGCAGAACCAGCGCGGGGGCCGCCUCUGUGUCCGUGACACCAAGAAGCCGGACUGCAACGACUGGGGGAGCGGCCUGAAGGCCAUGCAGUGCGCCUUGCAUCUGGAGAAGACCGUGAACCAGAGCCUGCUCGACCUGCACCAGCUGGCCACCGACAAGAAUGACGCCCACCUGUGCGACUUCCUGGAGAGCCACCACCUGCACGAGCAAGUCAAGUCCAACAAAGAGUCGGGGGGCAAUGUCACCAACCUGCGCAAGAUGGGGGCUCCGGAAAACGGCAGGGUGGAGUACCUCUUUGACAAGCUCACCCUGGGCAACAGUGACAAAAAGAACUGA